GGAGAGAUGCCGGAGUGGUCGAUCGGGGCGGUCUCGAAAACCGUUGUACGCUCUGCGUACCGGGGGUUCGAAUCCCCCUCUCUCCGCAA
rnacentral:tRNA from 1 species